GAUGAAGAACGCAGCGAAAUGCGAUAAGUAGUGUGAAUUGCAGAAUUCAGUGAAUCAUCGAAUCUUUGAACGCACAUUGCGCCCCUUGGUAUUCCAUGGGGCAUGCCUGUUCGAGCGUCAUUUGUACCUUCAAGCUCUGCUUGGUGUUGGGUGUUUGUCUCGCCUCUGCGUGUAGACUCGCCUCAAAACAAUUGGCAGCCGGCGUAUUGAUUUCGGAGCGCAGUACAUCUCGCGCUUUGCACUCAUAACGACGACGUCCAAAAGUACAUUUUUGCACUCUUGACCUCGGAUCAGGUAGGGAUACCCGCUGAACUUAAGCAUAUCAAUAAGCGGAGGA
rnacentral:misc_RNA from 1 species